UACGAAGGGGGCUAGCGUUGUUCGGAAUUACUGGGCGUAAAGCGCACGUAGGCGGUUAUUUAAGUCAGGGGUGAAAUCCCAGAGCUCAACUCUGGAACUGCCUAUGAUACUGGGUAUCUUGAGUAUGGAAGAGGUAAGUGGAAUUGCGAGUGUAGAGGUGAAAUUCGUAGAUAUUCGCAGGAACACCAGUGGCGAAGGCGGCUUACUGGUCCAUUACUGACGCUGAGGUGCGAAAGCGUGGGGAGCAAACAGG
rnacentral:rRNA from 1 species